CCUACGGGAGGCAGCAGUGGGGAAUAUUGCACAAUGGGGGAAACCCUGAUGCAGCGACGCCGCGUGAGUGAAGAAGUCUCUCGGUACGUAAAGCUCUAUCAGUAGGGAAGAAAAUGACGGUACCUGACUAAGAAGCCCCGUCUAACUACGUGCCAGCAGCCGCGGUAAUACGUAGGGGGCAAGCGUUAUCCGGAUUUACUGGGUGUAAAGGGAGAGUAGACGGCAGCACAAGUCUGGAGUGAAAUCCCGGGGCUUAAUCCCGGAACUGCUUUGGAAACUGUGCGGCUGGAGUGCAGGAGGGGUAAGCGGAAUUCCUAGUGUAGCGGUGAAAUGCGUAGAUAUUAGGAGGAACACCGAUGGCGAAGGCGGCUUACUGGACUGUAACUGACGUUGAGGCUCGAAAGCGUGGGGAGCAAACAGGAUUAGAUACCCGGGUAGUC
rnacentral:rRNA from 1 species